AAUGAAUUGCCUGAUAAAAGGAUUACCUUGAUAGGGUAAAUUAUGUGAUUAUGUCACAUUCAUUA
rnacentral:tRNA from 1 species